rnacentral:tRNA from 1 species
GCGGAUAUGGUCAAAUGGUAAAAUUUC